rnacentral:rRNA from 1 species
UACAGAGGUCUCAAGCGUUGUUCGGAUUCAUUGGGCGUAAAGGGUGCGUAGGCGGUGUCGUAAGUCGGAUGUGAAAUCCCGGGGCUUAACUUCGGAACUGCAUUCGAUACUGCGAUACUCGAGGACUCGAGAGGAGACUGGAAUUCCUGGUGUAGCGGUGGAAUGCGCCAGAUAAUCAGGAGGAACACCGGUGGCGAAGGCGGGUCUCUGGGCCGUAACUGACGCUGAGGAGCGAAAGCAUGGGAGCGAACAGG